CUAAACAACACCCCACCCCCACGACUCAGCAAAAUUUGGGGAAUCCAGAAUCCUGGGCCACAGCUUUUCAAGCAGCAGGAAAUGAGAAUUUGAAUUUUCUUUUCUCCUGUCGGCGAUGCCGGGUGUUCCCGCGUGACGCUCCACGUCCAACAUAUACAGCCAACACGAUCCUCCUUCUCGG